CGGGGUGAGUAAUGUCUGGGAAACUGCCUGAUGGAGGGGGAUAACUGCUGGAAACGGUAGCUAAUACCGCAUAACGUCGCAAGACCAAAGAGGGGACCUUCGGGCCUCUUGCCAUCGGAUGUGCCCAGAUGGGAUUAGCUAGUAGGUGGGGUAACGGCUCACCUAGGCGACGAUCCCUAGCUGGUCUGAGAGGAUGACCAGCCACACUGGAACUGAGACACGGUCCAG
rnacentral:rRNA from 1 species